GGCUGACUCAAACCUGGACCCACUCCUGUCAUGUGAGAGGGAUGGAGAAGCCCUGCAUCUGGUUCUUGAAGUAAAGGCCUUCAUCACUCUUUUCCUCAAAGAGCUGCAUGUCGAUUAGAGUCUUGGAACAAUCGCUUUCCACUGCUCAUUGGCCCAGCUCACUGGCCUCUUGCCCAAGGACAGGUAACGGGCACAUGAAGAGACAGCGGAAGCAGUUCUGCGCCAACCAAAAAAGAUCUCAACCCAGGAGGUGCCUGGGUCUGUGACUUUGGUUUUUGAAAACCUAACACCUGGCACAAGGAAAUUCCUUAACAAUCUCACCACAUCUGUGUCCAGACAUUGCUGAUAUCAAGA